rnacentral:lncRNA from 1 species
AUCCACCAGACAGACCCAAAUUGAGGGGGAUUCUACAAAAUACACGACCCGCACUCUUCUAAGGUGUCAAGGUCAUGAAAAACAAGACUGGAAAACCAACACAGACUGGAGGAGACUAAGAAGACCUGACAACUAAAUGCCAUGUGGGACCCUGGAGGGGACCCGGGAACAGUAGUAGAAGAGCUGGUGACAUCUGAAUGAAGUCUGUAAUUUGGGUAACAGUACUGUACCAAUGUUAAUUUCCCUGCUCUGCCAAUGCGAUGAGGGGCCCCUGCUGUAUGAAAUUGAAGAAAGAGUUGGACAACCAAGACACGUGAAGAGAGAGCAUGAGACUGGCUCCAGCACUCAGCAUUAGGAGAGCAUGGACUUCCUUCCAAUUGUGCCACCUUUCACAGACCUACCCUCAAGAAACCUUCAGCCUGA